rnacentral:rRNA from 1 species
GACGAACGCUGGCGGCGUGCUUAACACAUGCAAGUCGAACGAAGUGGCGAACGGGUGAGUAACGCGUAAUCAACCUGCCCUUCAGAGGGGGACAACAGUUGGAAACGACUGCUAAUACCGCAUACUGAAGGCGGGGAUUGCGUCUGAUUAGCUAGUUGGGGGGGUAACGGCCCACCAAGGCGAGGAUCAGUAGCCGGGCUGAGAGGGUGAACGGCCACAUUGGGACUGAGAAACGGCCCAGACUCCUAAGGGAGGCAGCAGUGGGGAAUCUUCCGAAAUGGACGAAAGUCUGACGGAGCAACGCCGCGGGAGUGAUGACGGCCUUCGGGUUGUAAAGCUCUGUUAAUCGGGACGCGGUACCGGAAUAGAAAGCCACGGCUAACUACGUGCCAGCAGCCGCGGUAAUAC